UCAUCAAAUGACCCAGCCCAACUUCUCCCUCAAGUCCAACUCUAAUCCGCCCAGCCUAUUUUCUCCUUCCAACCCGAUCAAACAGUCUUCUUCCAUCAAGAAGGAGAGCGUUAUUUUCUUCUUCGCCACGCAUAAAAUUCAAUGAAUGCACGGCUUUACGUGAACAACGAUUAGCAGGCAAUCCUGCACGCAUCGCCUUCUCUCCACGCGUGAGCGACGCUCCAACGUCUCCAUGUCAGGAGACGCGUCCAUUUUCCAGGCCCGUACGAAUUUUGUACAACCAGCAGCCUGCCAGUCGUCCUUCAUCGUCUAGGUGUUGCGAUCUCAAGCUGCAUCUGUCCUUACCUCGAGCUCGAACGACUCUCAUUAAUGAGACGUUGGAAUUUGUUGAGUAAUUGUAGAGAUUUCCUACAAGCACCUGCUAUUCCUCUGCUUUUGGAGAAAAUUCGAAAAAAAAACUCAAAUUGGGCUUUGUUCUUAUCUGGUUUUUCAGCCUUUUUCCCAUUUCCGAAACCCUAGUUGGUUCCUCUAUAUAAUGUAGUUUUCUGUUUAUUUUUAGUAGGGAGGGGAAUUUUUUGAGUUGAAGGCACAGAGAGGGAGGAAAAUUUUGUUGACAAAGCUUAUAGAACAAAAGGGAAGGAAAAUUUAUUUCAAGAUUUUUGAGUUGAAUCGUAGAAAACAAAAUAUAUAUACAGAUUCAUGAAAGUAGCAAAGAGGGACAAAAACACGUUUUCAGGAUGAAACGGAAAAGAAAUCAGGUUUUUAUUUUUUGGGGUUUGAGUCCGAUAUUUUGCUUAAAGUCCUCAAUUUUUGUUCUAGUUUGAGUUCUCGUAGAACAAAGGGAGGAGGAUUGCCUUAUAAAAGUCCAUCCAUCUCAAUAAUCACCGAUGUUGGAUCGGGUGAAACGCACUCUAAUACCAUGUGAAAUUAGGUUUUAGGCCUAACUCACAGCUCAAAAGCUAGCUCAAAGGGAGGAGGAUUGUCCAAGCCUUAUAAACAGUCCACCCAUCUCAUUAAUCACCGAUGUGGGACUUUUAUCAUUCUUUAACAGUUCCGUCCAAGUUCGCUUACCGGAAAUAGUUUCGUCCAAGUUCGCUUACCGGAAAAAGUCCUCCUGAGUUCCGGGAGACUCUCUCCCUCGCAUUUCAGCAGAGACAAAAGACUCAUAGUUCCUUCACCGAAUAUAUUGUCUAGAAAUCGAAAGAAUAGAUUUAAAACGGUGUACCGAUCCGGAGUUGGAAGGAUUGAAAAAGAUUUGAAGAAGUUGGGCCAAAGGAGGCCCACUUUAUAUGUUCAUUUCUUAUUGUAUUUUGUUAUUUUUCAGGCCUAAGCCCUUGUCAUCUUUUACUUUUCGUACUUAUUAAUUUUGUAUGUUUAGUCUAGGACAGAUACGAAAGAAAAAUGGGUCGAAAAUCCAAAAAGUCGAAUGGGCCAAAAAACUCAAAAUAGGUAGGUCCAAAAUUCCGGUCAAGGCGGACAGGAAACCCGGAUUUGAAUCCAAAUAUCUCUCUCUCUUUCUCUUUUUUUGUUUUCUUGUCUUUUUCUAUUCGUGACUGUUAGUUUUAAAGUUAAAAGAAUCCGAUUCCCUGGAAGCGCCGUAAUGUUUUAACACUUUAAAAUGGAAUCAAGUUUAAAUAGUUCUAAAAUAACUUUCAAGUUAUAUGUUUAAUUUAGAUAAAAACUAAGUAUUCAUUUCCAAAACAAGCUCUAAACAAUUUUUACCCCAAAAUAAAAUCAAGUUAAAUUUUUAGCCA